rnacentral:rRNA from 1 species
CUCCUACGGGGCGCAGCAGUGAGGAAUAUUGGUCAAUGGGCGCGAGCCUGAACCAGCCAAGUAGCGUGAAGGAUGACUGCCCUACGGGUUGUAAACUUCUUUUAUAAAGGAAUAAAGUGAGGCACGUGUGCCUUUUUGUAUGUACUUUAUGAAUAAGGAUCGGCUAACUCCGUGCCAGCAGCCGCGGUAAUACGGAGGAUCCGAGCGUUAUCCGGAUUUAUUGGGUUUAAAGGGUGCGUAGACGGGAAAUUAAGUUAGUUGUGAAAUCCCUCGGCUCAACUGAGGAACUGCAACUAAAACUGGUU